ACAAAAACAUAGGGGAGCUUGUAUUGGCAGGCUGAGAGGAAGUAAUCAACUUCGACCCUUUAACCUGAUGCGGAUAAUGCCGCCGUAGGAAAUCAUAAUUGCUGAUUU
rnacentral:ncRNA from 2 species